rnacentral:rRNA from 1 species
GAUGAACGCUGACAGAAUGCUUAACACAUGCAAGUCAACUUGAACUUCGGUUUGGGUGGCGGACGGGUGAGUAACGCGUAAAGAACUUGCCUCACAGAUAGGGACAACAUUUGGAAACGAAUGCUAAUACCUGAUAUUAUGAUUUUAGGGCAUCCUAGAAUUAUGAAAGCUAUAUGCACUGUGAGAGAGCUUUGCGUCCCAUUAGCUAGUUGGAGAGGUAACGGCUCACCAAGGCGAUGAUGGGUAGCCGGCCUGAGAGGGUGAUCGGCCACAAGGGGACUGAGACACGGCCCUUACUCCUACGGGAGGCAGCAGUGGGGAAUAUUGGACAAUGGACCAAGAGUCUGAUCCAGUAAUUCUGUGUGCACGAUGAAGUUUUUCGGAAUGUAAAGUGCUUUCAGUUGGGAAGAAAAAAAUGACGGUACCAACAGAAGAAGUGACGGCUAAAUACGUGCCAGCAGCCGCGGUAAUACGUAUGUCACAAGCGUUAUCCGGAUUUAUUGGGCGUAAAGCGCGUCUAGGUGGUUAUAUAAGUCUGAUGUGAAAAUGCAGGGCUCAACUCUGUAUUGCGUUGGAAACUGUGUAACUAGAGUACUGGAGAGGUAAGCGGAACUACAAGUGUAGAGGUGAAAUUCGUAGAUAUUUGUAGGAAUGCCGAUGGGGAAGCCAGCUUACUGGACAGAUACUGACGCUGAAGCGCGAAAGCGUGGGGUAGCAAACAGGAUUAGAUACCCUGGUAGUCCAAGGGCGAAUUCCACAGUGGAUAUCAAGCUUUAUCGAUACCGUCGACCUCGAGGGGGGGGCAAAUAUACAAAAAUAUUGUUCCCUUUAGUGAGGGGUUA